GGAGUUAGCCGGUGCUUCUUCUGCGAGUAACGUCACAGAUGUAAGGUAUUAACUUACACCCUUUCCUCCUCGCUGAAAGUGCUUUACAACCCGAAGGCCUUCUUCACACACGCGGCAUGGCUGCAUCAGGGUUUCCCCCAUUGUGCAAUAUUCCCCACUGCUGCCUCCCGUAGGAGUCUGGGCCGUGUCUCAGUCCCAGUGUGGCUGAUCAUCCUCUCAGACCAGCUAGGGAUCGUCGCCUAGGUGAGCCUUUACCUCACCUACUAGCUAAUCCCACCUGGGCUUAUCCAUCAGCGCAAGGCCCGAAGGUCCCCUGCUUUCCCCCGUAGGGCGUAUGCGGUAUUAGCAGUCGUUUCCCAACUGUUAUCCCCCACAAAUGGGCAAAUUCCCAGGCAUUACUCACCCGUCCGCCGCUCGUCAUCUUCAAAAGCAAGCUUUUGAAAUGUUACCGCUCGACUUGCAUGUGUUAGCUCGCCGCCACGCGUUACAUACUGAGCAGAAUACAACUACGUGA
rnacentral:rRNA from 1 species